GAUUAGCUUCCUAAUAUCCAAGGUGGUAGUGGAACUGUGUUAUCCCUUAGUCGCCUCUUACGACACCCUGUUGUGUGGUUACGGCAGUAAGAUUAAUGCCACCUUCUCUCUUCUCGUGUUCAGAUAGGAUACCCAAAAUAAUUCCAGUCCAGACCGCGAUUAAGAAUUUGUAAUCGACAAAAGAAUGACUUCUAUCAAUAAAGGAACG
rnacentral:misc_RNA from 1 species